rnacentral:rRNA from 1 species
CGACCGGCGCACGGGUGCGUAACGCGUAUGCAACCUACCUUUAACAGGGGGAUAACACUGAGAAAUUGGUACUAAUACCCCAUAAUAUCAUAGAAGGCAUCUUUUAUGGUUGAAAAUUCCGAUGGUUAGAGAUGGGCAUGCGUUGUAUUAGCUAGUUGGUGGGGUAACGGCUCACCAAGGCGACGAUCGGUAGCCGGACUGGGAGGUUGAACGGCCACAUUGGGACUGAGACACGGCCCAG